GGCCUGGGGCUUCCUAGCCCUGGGAAAAAAAAAAAAGGUUCGCCAGCUGAGAAGCCAAUCGAUGCAGGCCCUGGUUCGAUAUCGCGGGGGGACAUUCCAAUCCCUGCAGAAUCUGCACCGGGUCCCUUGAAGCUGAGAGAAAUUUCAAUUUCUCUUACAGUAUACAUUGCGCAACUCCACAAAUGCAUCAUUAUCUUCCAAAAUAAGGAAAGUUAGUUUGUCUCAGAGGGAAGCCAGUGUCGUCCGAGACUGAGCCGCAAGGAAGGAGGGAUGAUGAUGCUAAGAAUUAAGUCAACGUAAGAAAACCGGAUGGAAACACAUAAUGCACAACAAUAACGACGUUCCUGUUGGUUUAGCAGAACGGAGACCACGAGGGAAAUGACAAACCGUUUCUGCAGAUGAUCUUUAUAUUCAACAGGUCUCAGACAACGUUUUCUGGAUCACGCCCACAGCACAUAUACUCUAGAAUGGGCUGAGCGUAUGCUCAGCCACGUGUACAUUGCUAGGUGGACGCCUGCUGUGUGGAAGAACAAACGGGCCACUCCAAUAUUGUCGAGACACAAACUGAGGAAGAAGUCAACAUAUCACUGUUGACACGGCCAGUUGCUGUUCUCCGUCGUUAGUAGUAUGGAUUGCAUUUGGUUGAAAGUCGAUUAUUUCAUCAUGUCCCCGUAAAAUAUCCAAAAUGUAUGGUUGGUAAGGAUGGGAAUCCUUUCAUUUCCCAAAGUUUGAAGUCGUAGCGUAGC
rnacentral:sRNA from 1 species